rnacentral:misc_RNA from 1 species
UCGUAACAAGGUUUCCGUAGGUGAACCUGCGGAAGGAUCAUUACCUAGAGUUUGUAGACUUCGGUCUGCUACCUCUUACCCAUGUCUUUUGAGUACCUUCGUUUCCUCGGCGGGUCCGCCCGCCGAUUGGACAACAUUCAAACCCUUUGCAGUUGCAAUCAGCGUCUGAAAAAACAUAAUAGUUACAACUUUCAACAACGGAUCUCUUGGUUCUGGCAUCGAUGAAGAACGCAGCGAAAUGCGAUAAGUAGUGUGAAUUGCAGAAUUCAGUGAAUCAUCGAAUCUUUGAACGCACAUUGCGCCCCUUGGUAUUCCAUGGGGCAUGCCUGUUCGAGCGUCAUUUGUACCUUCAAGCUCUGCUUGGUGUUGGGUGUUUGUCUCGCCUCUGCGUGUAGACUCGCCUUAAAACAAUUGGCAGCCGGCGUAUUGAUUUCGGAGCGCAGUACAUCUCGCGCUUUGCACUCACAACGACGACGUCCAAAAGUACAUUUUUACACUCUUGACCUCGGAUCAGGUAGGGAUACCCGCUGAACUUAAGCAUAUCAAUAAGCGGAGGAA